rnacentral:rRNA from 1 species
UGGGGAAUCUUCCGCAAUGGACGAAAGUCUGACGGAGCAACGCCGCGUGAGUGAAGACGGCCUUCGGGUUGUAAAGCUCUGUGAUCCGGGACGAAAGAGCCUGAGGUAAAUAGCCUAAGGAAGUGACGGUACCGGAAAAGCAAGCCACGGCUAACUACGUGCCAGCAGCCGCGGUAAUACGUAGGUGGCAAGCGUUGUCCGGAAUUAUUGGGCGUAAAGCGCGCGCAGGCGGCUUCCUAAGUCCAUCUUAAAAGUGCGGGGCUUAACCCCGUGAUGGGAUGGAAACUGGGAAGCUGGAGUAUCGGAGAGGAAAGUGGAAUUCCUAGUGUAGCGGUGAAAUGCGUAGAGAUUAGGAAGAACACCGGUGGCGAAGGCGACUUGCUGGACGAAAACUGACGCUGAGGCGCGAAAGCGUGGGGAGCAAACAGG